CAAGUAUGUAUGAAUCGUGGGUCCUUUUUUUUAAGUGGUGGGUCCCGUAGAUCCAAGAGAUGGCGCACGCGCGAUCAUGGCGCGUAACACAAGUGGUGAGAAAGAGGUGGGUCGAAAACGGCGUCGCUUUACGGAAGCUCGGAGCCGUCCAUGGCGGAGAUUAGCAUGAACACAUCACAUGUCAUGUUUGUCUAGGGACAAGAUUCAAUGAGUCAGAGAGGGAGAACCGAGAAGAGCUUGCGUACCGGCCAAGAUCAGAUUACCCUUUAUUUAGUCGUCUUACUAUGAGAUCUCAAGAUCAUUAAAAAGGCUUUUAUGUUUAUAUGAUGAAUUCAAGGUAAUAAUAAAUGUUUUUUUUAUAAUGAUUUGGUCGAACCAUGAAACGUAGAAAGAGUGUAAGAGAUGAUGGAUCUCAAGGUAAUUCCAUUUACACUUGUUUGUUGCUUUCUCUUGUGUUGACCUUUGCGAUCUGCAGACGCUUUUCUCGUCGUAAAAACAGAUCUUUGUAGGGACCAAGAAGAACUAUAAUAGGAAUGGACUAAAUAAGGGCUGGGUUUAUAUCUUCCAGGGCAGGGCUGGGCUUAAAAACCCUUUUUAACAUCCCAACAAGGAGCAAACCAUGCACAAAGUUUGGAUCUCAACUACAAUUCUAUUCUUUGAGUUUCAUAAGUUUGAAAAUGAUUUAGACAAUAUAUCAUAACUGAGAUAAAAAGGAAAAAUGGUGGGAUAGUCACAGAUUGAUCUUAACGUUGUUCCUAGCAAGUUCACAAGAAACUGAUAUGAUCUACCUUCUCUUCUCCCACCCCUCCAUAUUGUUAUUUGUCCCACCUCGCCUCCUCUUGUUCAUCUACAAGACCAAUGAAUACUCAAAGUUCUUAAGGGUUUGGUUUGCAAACCGAUUAGAGUAGCUUAGGACCGUUAGGUAGCAGUUUUCUUAAUAAGAAUUACUAGCUAUUCAAACAGACUCACAUUUUUUUUGAAGAAUUUUUUUUUGAAUCUGAAUAAAUUUAACAUCAAUUAAAAAAAAAAGUUCCGUAAGAGCUUCUAACAGAGCAUAAAUUAUAUUCAAGAAGCAAUGAUUAAGAACAUAUAUAGAAAGUUGGAAAAAAACUGAAGAAGAAAUUGUUCUCUGAAAGCGAGAUGAAAUAUCUGAACUUUCAUUUGAAUCCGAGCAAAGACACUCAACUUAGAACCCUCACGUAACCAUCAAUCAUGCACGAAAUAACUCUAUCUCCGGUUACAGAGAAACAAACCAAACAGUCGAUAAAUGGAUUUGAAUUGCCUUGUGAUUGGUCCUGGUUUGUGAAGGGAUCCGUUUCUCCUGGUAUAUACAUUCCUCUGCUUCUGCUUCAUUACAUAAUGUAUUUUAAUGUGUCACUGCUUUGGUCCAGAAAUGUGUGAGUAAAUCAUAUGCUUCUUGCCAAAAAGUUCAAUGUUCCUUUUGUGGUAGAUGGGGUAAGCAGUGACAUAUAGUGUAAAGAUUGGAUCAAUCGGCUUGGUUCUUCUCCCAAACCAUUUGAUUGUUUUGUCUCUUCAUUGUUCUAUUUGAAAACGCUGCAGGACGGACUGAUUUUUUUGUGACAACUUACAUUGAUCUUGUCAACAGGUAUCCACUUGCUGUCUUAACCCCAAAUGUAGACGAGAGUAUGGUUCAGAAAGUGCUGAAUUGUGAAGUAGAUGAACAGAAUGCUUGGCCUUUGUGUCAAACAGUCAAUAUCAUUAGGUUGAUCCGGUUUAUUCUCUCUGGGAGUGGGAGGUGAGUUAUUCUUUGAUCCAGUAUCAUUAGGUUGAUCGGGUUAAAUGUCUAAACUUUUGUAGCCGCUACAUUACAUGUAUUUGGUUUCAUCUAGUGUGGCAGUGUUUUUUGUCAUGGGCGCAACAGCUUAAACUAGGUCCUGUAACGCCAAUGUUUUUUCAAUCAUUUUCUAGCUCAGUCCAUUUUAACACUCUCUAAAAAUUUCAGUUCCUUUGAGAAUCCAGCCAUCUUGGGAUACAUAUGGCUUUUGCAAAACAUAAGAUAUUAACUCUCACUAGCGACAUUAUCGAAUGUUUAGGGGAGAGGUAUGGAAUUCUUUCUUACUGAAGCUUCCGCAGAAAAUACAAAAAAAUUAUUUAUUAAUAUCAUCAGUUUUUUCUACAAUUUGGAGGAUACCUGCCCUGCAUCUUAAUCUGAAGAACACAUGAAAUGGAUUUGUCUUGCCUUCUACCACAUCUUAUUCUCUAUGAGAAACUUCAAAGUUGUUCAUGUUUUUAUUCUGUUGUGUCUUUUUCUUCAGUACUGUUAAAUAAAACCUGAAGGUUGUGAUUACCAAAUAAAGACUACUACUCAAUACUCAGGUUGAAGGUUGUUAUGACUUCUUAGAGGUUUGUGUUUGAGACUGACAGAUUGAGAAUUGCAAGACUUACUGAAGAAACACAAGAUCUGAACAUGAGAUAAAAAAAGGAUCAAGAGAAGGUAGAUUUUGAGUUUUGAGACAUAACUUAUUGGGACAAAGUCACUACAAACAGCAGAAGAGACGGACACGGAUUGUACAAAAGAGAGAACACACUACACGCAUCAUCAUCACCAACCAUUGAUAACAUUUAAAAAAAAAAAAAA